UUAAGCAUAUCAAUAAGCGGAGGAAAAGAAACCAACAGGGAUUGCCUCAGUAACGGCGAGUGAAGCGGCAACAGCUCAAAUUUGAAAUCUGGCCUCACGGUCCGAGUUGUAAUUUGUAGAGGAUGUUUCGGGUGCGUCUCCGGUCUAAGUUCCUUGGAACAGGGCGUCAUAGAGGGUGAGAAUCCCGUACGUGACCGGUGGACAAGCCCAUGUGAAACUCCUUCGACGAGUCGAGUUGUUUGGGAAUGCAGCUCAAAAUGGGUGGUAAAUUUCAUCUAAAGCUAAAUAUUGGCCAGAGACCGAUAGCGCACAAGUAGAGUGAUCGAAAGAUGAAAAGCACUUUGGAAAGAGAGUUAAAAAGUACGUGAAAUUGUUGAAAGGGAAGCGCUUGCAACCAGACUCGCCCGGGGGUGAUCAACUGUCCUUUUGGGCGGUGCACUCUCCCCCGGUCGGGCCAGCAUCGAUUUGGGCGGUAGGACAAAGGUCUCGGGAACGUGGCUCACUUUGGUGAGUGUUAUAGCCCGGGGCGUAAUGCUACCAGCCGGGAUCGAGGACCGCGCUUCGGCUAGGAUGCUGGCGUAAUGGUUGUCAGCGACCCGUCUUGAAACACGGACCAAGGAGUCGACCAACUCUGCAAGUGUUUGGGUGUUAAACCCGUGCGCGUAAUGAAAGUGAACGGAGGUGAGACCCCGCAAGGGCGCAUCAUCGACCGAUCCUGAUGUCUUCGGAUGGAUUUGAGUAAGAGCAUAGUUGGUCGGACCCGAAAGAUGGUGAACUAUGCGUGAAUAGGGUGAAGCCAGAGGAAACUCUGGUGGAGGCUCGCAGCGGUUCUGACGUGCAAAUCGAUCGUCAAAUUUGCGUAUAGGGGCGAAAGACUAAUCGAACCAUUAAAUCACUAGGUGGUUAAUUGAAGCCUCGGGGGUGCCCGUGGCUGCCAGUCCCCUCGGGGGCAACAUCGCCGUCUGCGUGGACUCCUCAGCCGAGUUGAACACGUUGCGGUCUCCCCGGGGAGAUCGCUCACAGACAAAGUGGCGGUGGUCGAAUCCCCCCGGGGUCGAUUGAGAUAUGGCCGGCCUGCCUCCUCAAGGAGGUUUUGGAUUA
rnacentral:rRNA from 1 species